GAUGAACGCUGGCGGCGUGCCUAAUACAUGCAAGUCGAGCGAACGGACGAGAAGCUUGCUUCUCUGAUGUUAGCGGCGGACGGGUGAGUAACACGUGGAUAACCUACCUAUAAGACUGGGAUAACUUCGGGAAACCGGAGCUAAUACCGGAUAAUAUUUUGAACCGCAUGGUUCAAAAGUAAAAGACGGUCUUGCUGUCACUUAUAGAUGGAUCCGCGCUGCAUUAGCUAGUUGGUAAGGUAACGGCUUACCAAGGCAACGAUGCAUAGCCGACCUGAGAGGGUGAUCGGCCACACUGGAACUGAGACACGCUCCAGACUCCUACGGGAGGCAGCAGUAGGGAAUCUUCCGCAAUGGGCGAAAGCCUGACGGAGCAACGCCGCGUGAGUGAUGAAGGUCUUCGGAUCGUAAAACUCUGUUAUUAGGGAAGAACAUAUGUGUAAGUAACUGUGCACAUCUUGACGGUACCUAAUCAGAAAGCCACGGCUAACUACGUG
rnacentral:rRNA from 1 species